UACGUAGGGUGCGAGCGUUAUUCGGAAUUACUGGGCGUAAAGCGUGCGCAGGCGGUUUUGUAAGCCAGAUGUGAAAUCCCCGGGCUCAACCUGGGAAUGGCAUUUGGGACUGCAAGGCUGGAGUACGGCAGAGGAGACUGGAAUUCCUGGUGUAGCAGUGAAAUGCGUAGAUAUCAGGUGGAAUACCGAUGGCGAAGGCAGGUCUCUGGGCUGAUACUGACGCUCAUGCACGAAAGCGUGGGGAGCAAACAGG
rnacentral:rRNA from 1 species